CCUACGGGAGACAGCAGUGAGGAAUAUUGGUCAAUGGACGAGAGUCUGAACCAGCCAAGUAGCGUGAAGGAUGACUGCCCUAUGGGUUGUAAACUUCUUUUAUAUGGGAAUAAAACGUUCCACGUGUGGGAUUUUGUAUGUAUAAUAUGAAUAAGGAUCGGCUAACUCCGUGCCAGCAGCAGCGGUAAUACGGAGGAUCCGAGCGUUAUCCGGACUUAGUGGGUGUAAAGGGCGCGUAGGUGGAUUCUUAAGUCAGUUGUGAAAGUUUGCGGCUCAACCGUAAAACUGCAGUUGAAACUGGCAGUCUAGAGUAUAGGAGAGGUGGGUGGAAUUCGUGGUGUAGCGGUGAAAUGCUUAGAUAUCACGAAGAACUCCGAUUGCGAAGGCGGUUCACUGGACUGCAACUGACACUGAGGCUCGAAAGUGUGGGUAUCAAACAGGAUUAGAUACCCGAGUAGUC
rnacentral:rRNA from 1 species